GGGGGGGGGGGGGGGGGGGGGGGGGGGGGGGGGGGCGGGGGGGGGGGGGAGGGGGGGGGGGGGCGGACGGGAGCGGCGGGGGGGGGAGGAACGCGGGGAUAGCCUACCUGGAAGACGGGGGGGGCUUCGGGAAACGGGAGCGAAUACCGGGUAACAUGGUGAACCGCGGGGGUCAACAGUGAAAGACGGUCGUGCUGUCACUUCUAGCGGCAUCCGCGCCGCAUUAGCUAGUUGGUAAGGUACCGGCUUACCAAGGCAACGCUGCGUAGCCGACCUGAGAGGGUGAUCGGCCACACUGGAACUGAGACACGGUCCAGACUCCUACGGGAGGCAGCAGUAGGGAAUCUGCCGCAAUGGGCGAAAGCCUGACGGAGCAACGCCGCGUGAGUGAAGAAGGUCUUCGGAUCGUAAACCUCUGUUAUUAGGGAAGAACAAAUGUGUAAGUAACUAUGCACGUCUUGACGGUACCUAAUCAGAAAGCCACGGCUAACUACGUG
rnacentral:rRNA from 1 species